CCCAUGUAAGGAGUGAUGGCGUUUAGUCACCAAAGCUUGCUGGCAGCUUUCUGGAGUCUCCAAGUCCACACCCACUAGAUAUUCUACUUUCCCAUCCAGCUGUCCAAGUGUACACACAUAUCCAAUGCCAACUUUGCCAACGGGCAGGAGAACCUUUACUCUGCUACCAAUUUUCAGAUCCCAUGCCGAACGAGGAGCAAACACACGGGAACAUUUGGGGAUCUUCAAAGUGCUAGUACU